rnacentral:rRNA from 1 species
UACGAAGGGGGCUAGCGUUGCUCGGAAUCACUGGGCGUAAAGCGCACGUAGGCGGAUUGCUAAGUCAGGGGUGAAAUCCUGGAGCUCAACUCCAGAACUGCCCUUGAUACUGGCGGUCUCGAGUCCGGGAGAGGUGAGUGGAACUGCGAGUGUAGAGGUGAAAUUCGUAGAUAUUCGCAAGAACACCAGUGGCGAAGGCGGCUCACUGGCCCGGUACUGACGCUGCGGUGCGAAAGCGUGGGGAGCAAACCGG